rnacentral:rRNA from 1 species
GGGGAAUUUUCCGCAAUGGGCGAAAGCCUGACGGAGCAAUACCGCGUGAGGGAGGAAGGCUCUUGGGUUGUAAACCUCUUUUCUCAGGGAAGAUAGUGACGGUACCUGAGGAAUCAGCAUCGGCUAACUCCGUGCCAGCAGCCGCGGUAAUACGGAGGAUGCAAGCGUUAUCCGGAAUGAUUGGGCGUAAAGCGUCCGCAGGUGGCAGUUCAAGUCUGCGGUCAAAGACCGGGGCUCAACCCUGGAAAGGCAGUGGAAACUGAACAGCUAGAGAGCGGUAGGGGCAGAGGGAAUUCCCAGUGUAGCGGUGAAAUGCGUAGAGAUUGGGAAGAACACCGGUGGCGAAAGCGCUCUGCUAGGCCGCGACUGACACUCAGGGACGAAAGCUAGGGGAGCGAAUGGGAUUAGAUACCCCAGUAG